rnacentral:rRNA from 1 species
UACGAAGGGGGCUAGCGUUGCUCGGAAUCACUGGGCGUAAAGGGUGCGUAGGCGGGUCUUUAAGUCAGGGGUGAAAUCCUGGAGCUCAACUCCAGAACUGCCUUUGAUACUGAAGAUCUUGAGUUCGGGAGAGGUGAGUGGAACUGCGAGUGUAGAGGUGAAAUUCGUAGAUAUUCGCAAGAACACCAGUGGCGAAGGCGGCUCACUGGCCCGAGUACUGACGCUGAUGCACGAAAGCGUGGGGAGCAAACAGG